CCUACGUGCGGCAGCAGUGGGGAAUAUUGCACAAUGGGGGAAACCCUGAUGCAGCGACGCCGCGUGAGUGAAGAAGUAAUUCGUUAUGUAAAGCUCUAUCAGCAGGGAAGAAAAUGACGGUACCUGAGUAAGAAGCCCCGGCUAACUACGUGCCAGCAGCCGCGGUAAUACGUAGGGGGCAAGCGUUAUCCGGAUUUACUGGGUGUAAAGGGAGCGUAGACGGGAGUGCAAGUCUGGAGUGAAAGGCGGGGGCUCAACCCCCGGACUGCUCUGGAAACUGUACGGCUGGAGUGCCGGAGAGGUAAGUGGAAUUCCUAGUGUAGCGGUGAAAUGCGUAGAUAUUAGGAGGAACACCAGUGGCGAAGGCGGCUUUCUGGACUGUAACUGACGUUGAGGCUCGAAAGCGUGGGGAGCAAACAGGAUUAGAUACCCCAGUAGUC
rnacentral:rRNA from 1 species